rnacentral:rRNA from 1 species
UAGGGAAUCUUCCACAAUGGACGCAAGUCUGAUGGAGCAACGCCGCGUGAGUGAAGAAGGUCUUCGGAUCGUAAAACUCUGUUGUUAGAGAAGAACACGAGCGAGAGUAACUGUUCAUUCGAUGACGGUAUCUAACCAGCAAGUCACGGCUAACUACGUGCUAG